CUCACUUGUAGCCAUGAGCUCCUGCUACCCUCACAGCAGCAGCCUGUGCAGUCACAGAACAAAUGAACUAUUGCCUCCAGUAACAGUCCACACCUGGACUGUCAUAAACCAACAAUGAGAUUGAAGUUCCCACUGCAUUUCCUGUACAGAUUUACAACUUGAGUUUCUUACUGGGCUUUGGAUGCACUACUUUGUAGUCUGCAGGAUGCAUCUGUUUGAAAACUCUGAUUUAGAUUUGCUAAUUCAAAGACUGGAAGUUGAGUGGUGAUAUGAACUCUGACUUUUGAACUGCACCUUACACCGGGCUGUGCUAAGGACCUGCAGUUCCCUGACUGUAAUACUAAAUAACUCACCUCAGGGACUGGGCUCGUCACUCUUUUUUUUAACUCUUAUUUUAGUCUAUUUUUUUAACACAGACUAACUCUUCUGUUAGCCAAUGUUAAAAAAAAAUCAGUUCCUUCUGUGUAAUUUCUUCGGUGUGCCAUGGACACACCCUGCAGCCACAAGGGAGGCAGCCCUAUAAAGGAGCCAAUACUCAGGAAGCCAAGAAGGACUCAAAAUCAGAAUUACAAGGAGUAUCAGAGAAGCUUACAGGUAAAACUCCAAGCACCCAACAUUAUCUGAAGAAGCAGAUGAAAGACAAGAAAAAAAAUUAACAGCAAAUUCCAGCAAGUCUCACACCAAAAAAUGAGGAGGCUGGGAAGGCACAAGAAGUUGGGAGGAGCACAGCCAAGAAAGUUGACCUCAAGAGACCACAGGGAUAUAUCCCAGACCACAUGGAGUCAUGCUCAGUACAUAAAGUUGGGAGAAGAAAGGAGGGACGAGGUUCAGAAUAUGGCGUUGUCUUCCCAUGUCACUGUUCCACAUGAUGGAGCCCUGCUUUCCUGGAGAUGGCUGAACACCUGCCUUCCCAUGGAACGUGGUAAAAGAAUUCUUUGGUUUGCUUUGCUUGCAUGUGCAGCUUUUGCCUUACCUACUAAACUGUCUGUGUCUCAACUCACAGGUUUUCUCACUUUUACCUUUCUAAUUGUCUGCCCCAUCCCAGCAGGGGGAGUGAGCAAGUGUCUGUGUGGUGCUUAGUUGCCAGUUGGGGUCAAACUACAACUCUUGGCCAUUUUAAAACCAUGCAGAUGGUUUUCAAAACUGGCAAGUGCACCUAGGUUCAGAGCAGUUACUCAUUAAAUGGUAACUGUUAAAGAUCAACCAACGAUUUCUUCUCAACUUUGCUCCAAAACCUUGGCUUCUGCCAAAGAUAGUGGAGGCUUUAUCAGUGGUUCACUGGCCAUAUGUAUCACUCAACCAGGAAAUUCCAACACUGCCAAGUUUAACAAAGGGAAUGCAAUUCCAUAUUAACUAUUAACUAAAGUCUCGUUUCAGAGAAUGCUAUAAAUUCCUUGGGACUCAGGAAAGGUUUUCUUACAUGACAGAGAACUGAGCAGAAAGGGAACGUGGGUGAGCUGUUAUGAGCUCCCAAAGGUUUUCCGUUUGUUUCUUUCUUUUGUGGGGGGAAAAAACCCCAGCAUUCUAAUAUGUAUCAGGCAGGAAGAGUAAAACAUUGUGAAUCUUAAAAUGUGGGAUCUGCGGUUAAGUGCUCUUUAAGCCCACUACCUUUAUCCUUUACACCAAACCUAAGAAUACAGAGAUUGCAUUUUUUUGACUGAUGAAAAUUUGGUUUGAUAAAUAUUAUACAAAUCACAUAUUGAGUAUAAACAUUCUGUGUUCUGGAAAUUCAGGCCCUCAUUGAGCUAAAUGUUAACACCAGCAUUUUUUGUAAGAUGAAGACUCCAACUCUGCCCAGUAGUGCAAUAUUUUUAUAUUGACUUAACAGUCAUUAAGCCAAACUCUGCCUGCCAGCACAGAAAUUUGAUACAAGCUGCCUGAACUGCAUCUCAUUUUCACACAGAACAUACACUGUGCUCAUUCUAUAGAUCACAGCACAGAUAGAUCCCAGCAGCCACACUCAGCCUCUGCAAGCAAGGAGCCAUUCAGUUCUCGGUUUCAGUUCAAAUGCCCGCCCCUCCUCAAGCACACAGGAGUGCAACGCCACGAACCAAAGGACGGCUGGAAUGCAGUUCCUGCAGAUGUAUAAACCAAUGAAGGAGCUUGAUUUAAGGUGCUGAAAGGCUGAACAUUGAAUCCAGCUGGGGUUCAGCUGCAGCUUACACUUAUGCUAUUUAUGAAUUACAAAUCAAGUCUGGGUGCUCAAGGCAACACAGUGUGUCAAACACCUCAGUCAAGGUGACCUACUUGGAGUAGAAUAACACAAACUCCUCCAGGGAAAAUCAAUCUGUAGGCACUGCAGCACGCUAGUAAUUACAAACAAAAUGAGACAACUGAACUGCACUGAAGAGUUAUAAAUGUAAGACAAAGUUCAGAAAUCCAGUGGCAAAAUCCUGAGCUCCUAACUCAGAACCAUCAUGCUAGAUCCUGAGAAGUACAGAUGUUAAGAAUCUCUCCUCCCCUCUAGAGACAUCCUACACUCAUGUGAUCCAGCUGUGCAGCACAGGCACGUAGCCUGCACAAGCAGCUUGAAUACGGUGGGAACUGAAGUAAGCAGUGAAGAAUAAGCCCAGGAAGUAAACAAUUCCAGAACAGUAUGGGAGGAAUAACUGUGUCUAGCUAGCCCGUCCCAAAGAUAAGUAUGUGUUGUGCUCCCUUAAGACUGCCAAAUCCAGAACUGGUUAAGGGGACAUGUGACUUGAAUUCCACAGGUACUUGGCACAGAUGAUCCCCGCCUUUUUCUCAUUGUUGCAAACAACAGCAUCACCCGAAUAAGGAAUGAGGCUGCGUAGGCAGCCUGCAGGAUUGUUGGAGGCAGAGUUACUCCUAACAAUACAUUGCUCUAAAGAAAGCAAAUUCAUACUUACUAGAACCAGUCUUUCCCCAAACCAGUAUUUUUGCUACACAUACUACUUCUACCAACCACAACAUCCUGCAUCCCAAACCAAUGGAUACUUAUCGUCCAGAACUGUGAUUUUCAAUCACAAGUUCUUCUCACAAUGCUUAACAAUGUACAAGGGAACUACAGUUUCCAAAGGCAGAGAUUAUUGUAAAUCACUUUCUCCACAAGUGUCACCUCCCUCAAACUCACCCUGCAGCCUGUAGCUCAACUCAGUGAGCACACUGGUAAGUCAAGUGCAGUGCCUAUGGAGAGAGGCAACCCCACAGAUUUUGAGAAAAGCAGCCCAUCGCCUGAUGUUAAUUCUAAGACCCACCUUUUCAUUCUGCACAUAUGGUCUUUAAAAAGCAAAGGCUGUCUUAGAUCCCAAUCCUCCUAUGCAGAGACCACCAUGAAAAAUAAAACUUCCCACUCAGGUGGCUCUCAGUCAGCUUUAGAAAGGUUUGUUGCAUCCCUUCUUUAUGUCCCAAGUAACACUCCCCUUUUUUGCUCAAAUCUGUGUCAGUCUUCUUCACUCAAUCACUACCUUAAAAUAUUUUAUCUGGAAUCCAAGUCUUCCCGCCUCUGGUUUAAAACAUAGUUUAUAGGAUUUAAUAAAAUGAAACAACUUCAGGUUCCUCCUGAUAUUCAUCUUUUAUCUUUCAGUUUAUUCUAUAACAUGCAUUAUUACAUUUGUUAUCUCUCUAUCCUCUGAGUUUCUGCUUAAUCCGUAAGUACUGUACCACUAGAGCGUUUCUCAUUUCAAUAACUUGGUAUAGAAUUAUGAUAACCACGCAAAUACUUGUCAAAUGUGCAUUUCUGUGAACUUCACAUGCAGCAUCACAUCACGCACAGUGAGGAUCUCCUCAGCAGAGCACCAGCACGGGAGUCACAACCUCAGCAGCACUGACAGGGCUCUGGGCAGACUCGUGCCCCUUCCCAACUUCGCACACAGCCGCCUCCCCACAGCAAC